rnacentral:rRNA from 1 species
AUACGUAGGGUGCGAGCGUUAAUCGGAAUUACUGGGCGUAAAGCGUGCGCAGGCGGUUUUGUAAGACAGUGGUGAAAUCCCCGGGCUCAACCUGGGAACUGCCAUUGUGACUGCCAGGCUGGAGUGCGGCAGAGGGGGAUGGAAUUCCGCGUGUAGCAGUGAAAUGCGUUGAUUUGCGGAGGAACACCGAUGGCGAAGGCAAUCCCCUGGGCCUGCACUGACGCUCAGGCACGAAAGCGUGGGGAGCAAACAGGAUUAGAUUCCCUGGUAGUCCACGCCGUAAACGAUGUCAACUGGUUGUUGGGAAUUUAUUUUCUCAGUAACGAAGCUAACGCGUGAAGUUGACCGCCUGGGGAGUACGGCCGCAAGGUGAAAACUCAAAUGAAUUGACGGGG